rnacentral:tRNA from 1 species
AAACUUAGGUUAUAAAAACCAAGGGCCUUCAAAGCCCUAAAAAGGGUUUCCACCACCCUAGUUUCUG